rnacentral:rRNA from 1 species
UGCAAGUCGAACGGCAGCACGGACUUCGGUCUGGUGGCGAGUGGCGAACGGGUGAGUAAUGUAUCGGAACGUGCCCAGUAGCGGGGGAUAACUACGCGAAAGCGUAGCUAAUACCGCAUACGCCCUACGGGGGAAAGCAGGGGAUCGCAAGACCUUGCACUAUUGGAGCGGCCGAUAUCGGAUUAGCUAGUUGGUGGGGUAACGGCUCACCAAGGCGACGAUCCGUAGCUGGUUUGAGAGGACGACCAGCCACACUGGGACUGAGACACGGCCCAGACUCCUACGGGAGGCAGCAGUGGGGAAUUUUGGACAAUGGGGGAAACCCUGAUCCAGCCAUCCCGCGUGUGCGAUGAAGGCCUUCGGGUUGUAAAGCACUUUUGGCAGGAAAGAAACGUCGUGGGUUAAUACCCCGCGAAACUGACGGUACCUGCAGAAUAAGCACCGGCUAACUACGUGCCAGCAGCCGCG